rnacentral:lncRNA from 1 species
UAAUGAUUGAAUCAAUAUAUACAAAAACUCUAUUUCAGUUUCUUCAUUGUCAAUGUUGAUAUACAAAAACUCUGUCAUUGUCAAUGUUAAAGUUGUGUAGUUCUUCCAUAGUCCUGAUUUUUGUCUUAAUGUUCAGCUGCAGUCACUUGUCUUGGCACUUUGGCACUUGUCUUUCUCUUUCACUAAAGUCAUUUCAGUUCAUUGCACCUUUGUGUCAGUAAAACGGUGUAAUCUGCAUAUUUUAAAUUAUUAAUUUUUCUUCUGCUAAUUUUCACUCCUCCACCUGCAUCCAGUCUGGUAGGACACAUUCUGUGUACAGAUUGAACAUAUAAGGGGAUAAAAUACAUUCUUGUCUGACACCUUUGCCAAAAGGAAACCAUUCUCUUUCUCUGACACCUUUGCCAAAAGGAAGCCAUUCUGUCUCUCCAUAUUCUGUCCUUACAGUAGCUUCUUGUCCACAAUACAGAUUACUCAUAAGGACAAUCAAGUGCUGGGUCACACCCAUUUCUUUCAGAACAACCCAUAACUUCUCAUGACCUACAUAGUCAUCAUCUGAGCACCUAAGCUUGUUGAAAAUCAUUUUGAGUCUGGAGACAGAACAGCAUCAUAUAUUCAAUGUCAGCAAUAUGUAUCCAGAUCAUCUUUAAUACUGAGUGGGAUAAACACAGCAAAGCACAGCAGAAAAUAAAGAAUUAUUAAAGAUAUGGAUGUGGCAAUGCCAUUGGAAGAUGUCAUGUUUUUAGACAAGAAACAGCAGAAACAGAACAUCUUGAAAAGUCAUGAAAACCUUGAGCAAGACCAUCCUGCAUUUUCAACCCGAAUUGAGAUGGCAGCAUCUUUGGCAUGAAGAAUUUAAUGAGAAAACAAGCUCAAUGGGACCUGCUGAGAGGAGAGCGUCUUGUGUUCUUGGCUGUGGUAGAAUGUGAUUGAUCCAAGAGACUGGCUCUUAUAUAAAUACAUAAAUGUAACUCUCAAGGUACUUUCUUAUUUUACUCUGUUGUUAAAGGACCAUUUUUCUUCCUUUGAAAGCUUUGGCUGUUAUUAAGAGUGCUGGCUAGAAAUAUUUCUUUCCAAUAGCCACCUCGUUCUUCUCAUGCUGCUUUUGUUUUCUACACACUGUAAUUUGGAAAUGUCCGAGAGCCUGUGCCACAAAAUUGGAAGCAGGGUGUGGGAGAACAGGCAGAAAAAAAAUAAAAACAAAUAAAAACAUGUAUCUUCUACA